GGCGAACGGGUGAGUAACACGUGGGUGAUCUGCCCUGCACUUCGGGAUAAGCCUGGGAAACUGGGUCUAAUACCGGAUAGGACGAUGGUUUGGAUGCCAUUGUGGAAAGUUUUUCGGUGUGGGAUGAGCUCGCGGCCUAUCAGCUUGUUGGUGGGGUAAUUGGCCUACCAAGGCGUCGACGGGUAGCCGGCCUGAGAGGGUGUACGGCCACAUUGGGACUGAGAUACGGCCCAG
rnacentral:rRNA from 1 species